rnacentral:rRNA from 1 species
UACGUAGGGUGCAAGCGUUAAUCAGAAUUACUGGGCGUAAAGCGUGCGCAGGCGGUUUUGUAAGUCUGUCGUGAAAUCCCCGGGCUUAACCUGGGAAUUGCGAUGGAGACUGCAAGGCUAGAAUCUGGCAGAGGGGGGUAGAAUUCCACGUGUAGCAGUGAAAUGCGUAGAGAUGUGGAGGAACACCGAUGGCGAAGGCAGCCCCCUGGGUCAAGAUUGACGCUCAUGCACGAAAGCGUGGGGAGCAAACAGG